rnacentral:misc_RNA from 1 species
UUUACAUCCCAAACCCGUUGUGAAAAUGUCGUACGCCGAUCUGAGUGUGUUAAAUUGCGACAGGAAAACAUUGCUAGAAAAAGUUGGUGUGGCAGUAAAACUUGGAUAUGAAGUUAUUGCUUUAGACAUCGUCCAUACACCGUCAAAGAAUGCUACAAAAAAGAAGAAAAAGCAAAAAGAUUCCAAUCCACAGGCUAGCGAGGGAGUGAUAAAAGCAAGCACAUUGAAACUGACAGAGGAUGAAUUAAAAGAUCUCAAAGUUGACAGUAAACGAGUAAAGAUUCUGAGCCGGGUGACGUUGAAUGUCACAGACAGUGAACAGUUGCAGUAUCUGAUGUCACCCGAGGUACAGGAGUAUGACAUUGUAGCUGUUCGACCCACAUCAUCCGAUAUUUUCACUAAAGUUACAAAAUACAUCAACUUAGACAUCAUUCAACUGGAAAUGGAUAAAAAUGUUAAAAUUAUCACACCUGGAGGCUUGAGUGAAGGAAUACAAAAGGGGAUUCAUUUUGAGAUUCAAUAUGGCCCCGCGAUCCGGGACAGCUCUGUCAAGAAAUAUCUCAUCUCUAACUCACAGCUGCUAGCCAGUUUUAGCAAAUCAAAAGUAGGUGAGAUUUGAUGGCCUUCCAUAAUGUGAUAAUUUCUGUCUUUAUUCAAAAUACAAUGGAAAAAUUUAAAGAUUUCCUAUUUCAACGUAAAAAAAAAUCAUUUAAUGAGAGAUGUUAUCGUUUUUUAUAAAUAUGACAAAUGCAAAUUGAGAUACGUGUACAAUUUAUUCUAAACUCAAAAUUGAGCUGAUAUCCAAGUCAACUUUUGUUAGCCUGGCUAUCUCUGUAGUGGGCUAUACUUCACUUAAAGAAAAUUGCAUAUUCACUAAUGAGUUCCCUUUCUUUUUUAAUUGAAGAACAUCAUUAUUUCCAGUGGAGCUGAGAGAGUAAGUCAUGCUUUCAUAUUUAUUUGGAUACAUGUACCAUAAAACAAAACCCAUAUUUUAUUAAGUGACUCAUCUAUAAACUGAAAGUUUUUUAAAAGUAGUUAUUGAUGUAUUGAUGUGAAUAAGCUAGAGCCAAAAAAAAUGUUAUCAGUAUUUAUUUUUGUUUUUAUUUCUUUUUAUAAAAGCUCUAAAUACUUGAUUUUCACAGGCAAUAGAGCUGAGAGGACCCCAUGAUGUAGCAAAUUUAGGCCUACUGUUUGGACUGAAUGAAGCUCAGGCCAAGAACUGUGUCAGCAGGAGCUGUAGGAGUGUGCUACUACAUGCAGAAGAAAGACGAGCCUUGAAAGCUACAGUAGCCCUAUCAUCAGGUGACCUUUCGGACGAUCAGAAGUGGGUAAAGGACAAACUGAGUGAGAUCCACUCCCAGGAUACAACUGGAGAAUCCUCCCCAAAGAAAAGGAAGCUUGAGUGAAUGUCGGAUUUGAAACUUUAAGAUGUUGAGUUGUUACUUGUGUCAUUUAAUGAUUUUUUUUUUUGUCAUUAAAGUUUGAUUACUCAU